rnacentral:rRNA from 1 species
AGUGAACGCUGGCGGUAGGCCUAACACAUGCAAGUCGAACGGCAGCACAGUAAGAGCUUGCUCUUACGGGUGGCGAGUGGCGGACGGGUGAGGAAUACAUCGGAAUCUACUUUUUCGUGGGGGAUAACGUAGGGAAACUUACGCUAAUACCGCAUACGACCUACGGGUGAAAGCAGGGGAUCUUCUGACCUUGCGCGAUUGAAUGAGCCGAUGUCGGAUUAGCUAGUUGGCGGGGUAAAGGCCCACCAAGUCGACGAUCCGUAGCUGGUCUGAGAGGAUGAUCAGCCACACUGGAACUGAGACACGGUCCAGACUACUACGGGAGGCAGCAGUGGGGAAUAUUGGACAAUGGGCGCAAGCCUGAUCCAGCCAUACCGCGUGGGUGAAGAAGGCCUUCGGGUUGUAAAGCCCUUUUGUUGGGAAAGAAAAGCAGCAGGUUAAUACCCCGCUGUUCUGACGGUACCCAAAGAAUAAGCACCGGCUAACUUCGUG